UGCAGAGUUGGUCUUGUGGGGUUUGGUUAAAACCCUGAUGAAUCUGGUGAAGACAACUUUUUGUAAAUGUUCUAGAGAAAUAUAGUAGCACUCUGUUUGCCCUUUUAAGUAAAAAGGGUGGAUCUUUCCACUACUGACAUUA
rnacentral:scRNA from 1 species